GUGUCAGCCGCCGCGGUAAGACGAGCCACACGAACGUUAUUCGGAAUUACUGGGCUUAAAGGGUGCGUAGGCUGCGCGGAAAGUUGGGUGUGAAAUCCCUCGGCUCAACCGAGGAACUGCGCCCAAAACUGCCGUGCUCGAGGAAGAUAGAGGUAAGCGGAACUUACGGUGGAGCGGUGAAAUGCGUUGAUAUCGUAAGGAACACCUGUGGCGAAAGCGGCUUACUGGGUCUUUUCUGACGCUGAUGCACGAAAGCUAGGGGAGCAAACGGGAUUAGAAACCCCCGUAGUCC
rnacentral:rRNA from 1 species